rnacentral:rRNA from 1 species
AGUGGGGAAUUUUCCGCAAUGGGCGACAGCCUGACGGAGCAAGACCGCGUGGGGGAGGAAGGCUCUUGGGUCGUAAACCCCUUUUCUCAGGGAAGAAGAUCUGACGGUACCUGAGGAAUCAGCAUCGGCUAACUCCGUGCCAGCAGCCGCGGUAAGACGGAGGAUGCAAGCGUUAUCCGGAAUUAUUGGGCGUAAAGCGUCCGUAGGCGGUUUAUCAAGUCUGUCGUUAAAGACUGCAGCUUAACUGUGGGCAAGCGGUGGAAACUGAUUAACUAGAGUGUGGUAGGGGUAGAGGGAAUUCCCAGUGUAGCGGUGAAAUGCGUAGAUAUUGGGAAGAACACCAGUGGCGAAGGCGCUCUACUGGGCCACAACUGACGCUGAGGGACGAAAGCUAGGGGAGCGAAAGGGAUUAGAUACCCCUGUAGUCCUAGCUGUAAACGAUGGAUACUAGGUGUUGCGCGUAUCGACCCGUGCAGUACCGCAGCCAACGCGAUAAGUAUCCCGCCUGGGGAGUACGCACGCAAGUGUG